AGAGUUUGAUCCUGGCUCAGGAUAAACGCUGGCGGCGUGCCUAACACAUGCAAGUCGAACGCCCUCACGCAAGUGAGGGAGUGGCGGACGGGUGAGGAACGCGUGGGUUAUCUACCUUGAGGUGAGGAAUACCGGCGAGAAAUCGCCGACAAGACCGCAUACGCUCGGCAACGAGCAAAGUCGUAAGACGCCACAAGAUG
rnacentral:rRNA from 1 species